UCUCCGUUGGUGAACCAGCGGAGGGAUCAUUACCGAGUUUACAACUCCCAAACCCAAUGUGAACGUUACCAAAUUGUUGCCUCGGCGGGAUCUCUGCCCCGGGUGCGUCGCAGCCCCGGACCAAGGCGCCCGCCGGAGGACCAACCAAAACUCUUUAUGUAUACCCCCUCGCGGGUUUUUUUACAAUCUGAGCCAUCUCGGCGCCCCUCGUGGGCGUUUCGAAAAUGAAUCAAAACUUUCAACAACGGAUCUCUUGGUUCUG
rnacentral:misc_RNA from 1 species